rnacentral:ncRNA from 1 species
GGAGAAUAUUAGAUUUUCUUAAUGUUCUGUUCGUAACCAGCAACUCGGCAACAGGACGUUGCCGAGAGUGAGAGCUGAGCCAUGGAUGGCGAAUCUCGAGCGCUUGCGUCAAGCAUAAACCACCUAUACCAGAACAUUUAGAAAAUCUUAUGUUCGUAA